rnacentral:rRNA from 1 species
UACGAAGGGUGCAAGCGUUGUUCGGAAUUACUGGGCGUAAAGGGUUCGUAGGCGGGAGCGCAAGUCAAGUGUGAAAUCCUCGGGCUUAACCCGAGACGUGCAUUUGAAACUGCGUUUCUUGAGUUUCGGAGAGGGUGGUGGAAUUGCUGGUGUAGGAGUGACAUCCGUAGAGAUCAGCAGGAACACCGGAGGCGAAGGCGACCACCUGGCCGAAUACUGACGCUGAGGAACGAAAGCGUGGGGAGCAAACAGG